GAAGGUGGCCUGUGAGGGUUGCUGGAGGUAUCAGAAGUGCGAAUGCUGACAUAAGUAACGAUAAAGCGGGUGAAAAGCCCGCUCGCCGGAAGACCAAGGGUUCCUGUCCAACGUUAAUCGGGGCAGGGUGAGUCGACCCCUAAGGCGAGGCCGAAAGGCGUAGUCGAUGGGAAACGGGUUAAUAUUCCCGUACUUGGUGUUACUGCGAAGGGGGGACGGAGAAGGCUAUGUUGGCCGGGCGACGGUUGUCCCGGUUUAAGCGUGUAGGCUGGUUUUCCAGGCAAAUCCGGAAAAUCAAGGCUGAGGCGUGAUGACGAGGCACUACGGUGCUGAAGCAACAAAUGCCCUGCUUCCAGGAAAAGCCUCUAAGCAUCAGGUAACAUCAAAUCGUACCCCAAACCGACACAGGUGGUCAGGUAGAGAAUACCAAGGCGCUUGAGAGAACUCGGGUGAAGGAACUAGGCAAAAUGGUGCCGUAACUUCGGGAGAAGGCACGCUGACACGUAGGUGAAGUGAUUUACUCAUGGAGCUGAAGUCAGUCGAAGAUACCAGCUGGCUGCAACUGUUUAUUAAAAACACAGCACUGUGCAAACACGAAAGUGGACGUAUACGGUGUGACGCCUGCCCGGUGCCGGAAGGUUAAUUGAUGGGGUCAGCGCAAGCGAAGCUCCUGAUCGAAGCCCCGGUAAACGGCGGCCGUAACUAUAACGGUCCUAAGGUAGCGAAAUUCCUUGUCGGGUAAGUUCCGACCUGCACGAAUGGCGUAAUGAUGGCCAGGCUGUCUCCACCCGAGACUCAGUGAAAUUGAACUCGCUGUGAAGAUGCAGUGUACCCGCGGCAAGACGGAAAGACCCCGUGAACCUUUACUAUAGCUUGACACUGAACAUUGAGCCUUGAUGUGUAGGAUAGGUGGGAGGCUUUGAAGUGUGGACGCCAGUCUGCAUGGAGCCGACCUUGAAAUACCACCCUUUAAUGUUUGAUGUUCUAACGUGGACCCGUAAUCCGGGUUGCGGACAGUGUCUGGUGGGUAGUUUGACUGGGGCGGUCUCCUCCUAAAGAGUAACGGAGGAGCACGAAGGUUGGCUAAUCCUGGUCGGACAUCAGGAGGUUAGUGCAAUGGCAUAAGCCAGCUUGACUGCGAGCGUGACGGCGCGAGCAGGUGCGAAAGCAGGUCAUAGUGAUCCGGUGGUUCUGAAUGGAAGGGCCAUCGCUCAACGGAUAAAAGGUACUCCGGGGAUAACAGGCUGAUACCGCCCAAGAGUUCAUAUCGACGGCGGUGUUUGGCACCUCGAUGUCGGCUCAUCACAUCCUGGGGCUGAAGUAGGUCCCAAGGGUAUGGCUGUUCGCCAUUUAAAGUGGUACGCGAGCUGGGUUUAGAACGUCGUGAGACAGUUCGGUCCCUAUCUGCCGUGGGCGCUGGAGAACUGAGGGGGGCUGCUCCUAGUACGAGAGGACCGGAGUGGACGCAUCACUGGUGUUCGGGUUGUCAUGCCAAUGGCACUGCCCGGUAGCUAAAUGCGGAAGAGAUAAGUGCUGAAAGCAUCUAAGCACGAAACUUGCCCCGAGAUGAGUUCUCCCUGAGACUUAGAGUCUCCUGAAGGAACGUUGAAGACGACGACGUUGAUAGGCCGGGUGUGUAAGCGCAGCGAUGCGUUGAGCUAACCGGUACUAAUGAACCGUGAGGCUUAACCUU
rnacentral:rRNA from 1 species